rnacentral:rRNA from 1 species
UACAGAGGUCCCAAGCGUUGUUCGGAUUCAUUGGGCGUAAAGGGUGCGUAGGCGGCGCGGUAAGUCGGGUGUGAAAUCUCGGAGCUUAACUCCGAAACUGCAUUCGAUACUGCCGUGCUUGAGGACUGGAGAGGAGACUGGAAUUUACGGUGUAGCGGUGAAAUGCGUAGAUAUCGGAAGGAACAUCAGUGGCGAAAGCGGCUUCCUGGACCAGAACUGACGAUCAGGCACGAAAGCGUGGGGAGCAAACAGG